rnacentral:rRNA from 1 species
GAUGAACGCUGGCGGCGUGCCUAACACAUGCAAGUCGAACGAAGCUUGACGGAUGAUUUCUUCGGAAUGAAACCAGAUAUGACUUAGUGGCGGACGGGUGAGUAACACGUGAGCAACCUGCCUUUCAGAGGGGGAUAACGGCUGGAAACGGUCGCUAAUACCGCAUGAUGUGUUCGGAUGGCAUCAUCUGAACAUCAAAGAUUUAUCGCUGAAAGAUGGGCUCGCGUCUGAUUAGAUAGUUGGUGGGGUAACGGCCUACCAAGUCUACGAUCAGUAGCCGGACUGAGAGGUGGAACGGCCACAUUGGGACUGAGAUACGGCCCAGACUCCUACGGGAGGCAGCAGUGGGGAAUAUUGCACAAUGGGGGAAACCCUGAUGCAGCAACGCCGCGUGAAGGAUGACGGUUUUCGGAUUGUAAACUUCUUUUCUUAGUGACGAAGACAGUGACGGUAGCUAAGGAAUAAGCAUCGGCUAACUACGUG